UAUCAAUUGCACGUCCACUGCAAUAGUCCACACGACAGCUGAUUUUUUACUAAGUUACAUUGAGAUAUUGAAUUGCAUGCACGGUAUUUAGAUGAAUAUAUACCGUGAUUGCAUGCGAGUAAUCCAUUCAACAGCUGAUUUGGGUCAUUCUCCAGAUGCGGACAGAACAUGGUCACAAGCCUAGUGAAAGAAAUCCUGAAUUUUUAAUUUUAUUUUUAAAUGUUAAAUACUUCCUAAGCAUUGAUAUUAACCCAAUAAUGCAGUUGAUAAACAUUUAUUGCAAAUAAUUAUGUAUAAAUAUCUGUCCACUGAACGUGAUAAGUCACUUCUGUGGACAGUCACCAUCUGUAGUUUGAGACAGUUAGGGCUUACAUCUUCAUUCUAUAUUCGAUUUUACAUCUUUAAAACGGGAUAAUAAUGGUAAACUAUAGUAUUUGGAGUAAUCCCUGCAAUUUUAUCCUUGUUUAUUCAAUUACUUGAAAAGAAAAAUCCAAUUGAACUCUUGUCUCCUAGUUUACAAUCACUUCUGUGGACAGAAUUAAAUAGUUCAAUAAAUUUUUACUAGGCAGCGCUAGUGUAGUUCUCUACCAACUGUAGGAAGAAGGAGUAGCCAUAUUGUUGUGUAAAGUAGUUGGAAGUUUUUGUUUUAUUUAUUUAUCAAUAUUUUGAUCGUUUGUGAAGCUACCACAAUCACUCCUGUGACCAGUUAUAAAAAGAUAUGAAAUGGCAAGAUCAAAAAAAGAACAAGAGCGUUAUCUUGAGAAAAGAAGAGAGAUGAAGAAGAUGAGCAUGAGGAAAGCUAGAGAGAAGUUGCGAAGUGAUCCUGUUAAAUAUGAAGAAAUAAAGGCCAAAGAUAGAAACCGAUAUAGAAGAAAAAAAGAAGAAGGGAAAGUAAAGUUGAUAGGAGAAAUGAGUAAUCGUGAUCAAAGACGGAUACGUCAGGAAUGGAGGAAGCGGUCAGAAAAAUACCGUUUAAAAAAUAAAAAUGAAGAAAACAUCCAUGAUUUUGUAGUAUCCAAUAGUCCACCAUCAACUCCAGAAUCUCAAAUUGAAAUCAUUCAGCCUAGCACAAGCAGACAACAGGAGUGUGGUAAAAAGAUAGCAAGGAAGAAUAGAGAAAUAAAAAACCAAAAAAUUAAACAGCUGCAAAAAAAACUGGAUAUGGCUAAUUCUGAAGUGAAUCGAUAUAAAAAACGCUUAUCAAGGCUUCAGAAGGCACAAAUGAAAGAAACGCCCAGAAAAAAAGUUGCCCAAAUGAUUCAAGGACUAAAGACCAAAGUUACUCCAGAAGUGAAGAAGAAACUUUUGUUUGCAGAAGUGAUUUCCAAACAAAUCUCAGCGAACUAUCAAUCACAGUCAAGCAGUAAGGAUAAAAGGAAAAUGGCUGCAUCAGUGUCUGGAAAAAUCAUUAAAAAAUACAAAUUUGUCCAGUAUUUAGCUUCCCUAACAUCCACUGGAAGUCUAAGAAACAAAAGAUAUUAUAGACGAAUAUACUUGAAAAGAGAAAUGAUGCAGGCAAAACAAGAAGUUAAAUAUUUAGAAAAGGAUGAAUCAAGUAGAUUAACUGCUGGAAAAAAGAAACUUUAACUAAAAAGAAAAUUAAAAAACAGAAAAGACUGCUGAAUGACUCUUUGAAGAACCUGCAUAAAAUAUUUGUUUCUAAAUAUCCCAAAUAUAAGAAUAUGUCUUACUCUUUAUUUUGCAAAUUUAGACCCUUUUGGAUAGUUUCUCCAAGUGUUGGAAAUCGAAACACAUGUCUGUGUAAAAUUCACGACAAUAUGAAACUAUUGAUGAAGAGAAUUGCUUAUCAUAACAUUUUAAAACAAAGAAGUGACUCAGAGCUUGUGAAGUCAUUGUGCUGUGCAAAAGAACUCAUUGAAGAGGCAUGCCUGGAAAGGAAAUGUUCUUAUUGUAAACAUAAAUCAAUCACACCUAAAGAUUUCAACUCUGAUGAGUUGACUUACUAUGAUCAAUGGAAGAACCUCAAAGUGAGUUUGAUAAUAAAAGGAGAAACGAGAAUAUGCCAGAAAGUGGUCAAGGACAGAGUUGCAUUUACAAAAGAGGAUCUUCUGGAGAGGUUGAAAUUGACUAUUUUACCAUUCAUGCAGCAUUAUGCCAACAUCAAACACCAGUUUCAAGCAAUCUCUGACAUAAAUAAAACACUAGACAAAGAUGAUAUCUUAUUACACUUUGAUUUCUCUGAAAACUACAACUGUAAGUACUCAGAAGAGAUUCAGUCAGCACAUUUUGGAGGGUCUAAACCUCAAAUAACACUACACACUUCUGUAUGUUAUUAUCACUCAGAUUCAGAUGACAUAAGUACUAGACCCAAGCAUCAAAGUUUCUGUACUUUAUCCAAAAGCCUUCGACAUGAUCCGGCAGCAAUUACUGCUCAUUUGGACUGUGUAUUGGAUAGAAUCCAAAAGACAUUAGUGCCAAGUUUGAAGAAAAUUCAUUUUCUAAGUGAUGGACCCAGUACUCAGUAUAGGAAUAAAACAAUGUUUAAUUUACUUGUUAAAUAUAUUGCAAAAAAUUUGAAUUGGAAGAAUGCACUUGGAACUAUUGUGAGGCUGGGCAUGGCAAGGGUGCCCCUGAUGGCAUUGGUGGAUGCUUGAAGAGAAGGGCAGAUGCGUUUGUUGCUAGAGGAAUUGAUAUUCCAAAUUUUGAGAUAUUGGUGUCACUUUUGAAAGAUGCCACACAAAUAGGUAUUUUAUCGGUCACAGAAGAAGACAUCAGAAAUAUAGACCUAUUGGUACCAAAGGCUGAAGAGUUGAUCACUUUCAAAGGUACUAUGAAAAUUCAUCAAAUCUCUUGGUCCAAAAAGUCAUUUUCCACACUGCAAGCUAGACGACUUAGUUGUACUGAUUGCCAACCAGAAGAAGACUGCAAACACUUCGGAAUUGGAUCUAUAAAAUUCAGUCAUGAACAGCACUCGAGGAAGAGAUUACGCUAUUCAGAUGUUUUUUCUGAUUCUGAAGAAGAACCGCUUGAACCCAGUCACAAUAUCAACGACUUUGAAGAUAUAACCAUCGGUGACUGGGUGGCCGUAAUUUACGAUGACAAAUGGUAUCCAGGUGUUGUGGAAAGAGUGGGCGAAGCUGGCGAAAAUUUCCUCUCAGUGAACUUCAUGGCAAGAAGUGGCGCAAACUUCACUUGGCCAACAAAACCGGACACUCAAACUGUCGAGAAAAAAGACGUAUUAAAAAAAAUUAGGACCCCUCCAUUCCCUGUGUCUAGUCGCCACUUUGGGCUGGACAGCCAAAGUAUUAGACAAAUCGAGGAUUUAUAUAAUAUGAUUUGAGGAUUUGUAUUAAAAAAGUUGUUCAUCAUUAUUUAGAUUUCAUUGAAAUUCACACCUAUACAUUCAUUAGGGUCACAUCCAGUGCAAAAUGAAUAAAAAAAUUUACAAUAAUAAUAAACUAAUAAAGCACAAUAAGUGCUGUUGUGUAACAUCUUAAGAUUGAUUUUAAAUAUUUUAAGCUCUAUAACUAUGCACAAUUAACAAGAACUAAUCUUCAGUCAUUUCUGUGGACAUCAUGUCACUUCCGUGGACAUGCUAAUUUUAUUUUCUUGAAAAAAAUAAAAAAAUGAGUGUUUUAAGCUCAACUGUUAUCAGUGUAAUAUUUAGAAGUUCAUAUUUAAGUUGUAGGCUAAUUUUGGUAGAAAAUUAAAAAACUAUUUUUUAGAAAUUUAAUUUAAUUGAAACUGUCCUUUUUUGAAGAAUGACCCAUUUAUGAUGAAUAAUUCUAUAGUCUAAUUUUUACUCUAAUAUUGGCUUAUGACGGAGGCUCCUUUUCCUUUUAUAUUAUCCUUGAAAUGCAAAAUUUUCAAAAUACUUGUAUAUACGUCUGUUCAAGCCAGUUUCUUUGUAUAGUAGUUUUAGUUUUCCUUCAUCCGCUGCAUAGUGCUAAGGAAGAGAUUUUGUCCUGUUAUCGUUUUCAUUGCCACGACUUGAGCCAUCCCCUCCGCUCUCCGCUCUAGGCGUGUGCAGCCCGGAGCUCAGCUCAGUUGCAAAAAACAUCUCAUUGUCGACAGAUCAUUGUUUUUCGUUUGGAUAGUUGAUCCAUAAUUAGCAACUCCUAUUUGUUUAAUUUGUUAUUUUUUGAAUAUAUCAUCAUGGGAAAUUCGUCCCAUUAUUAUUGUAAUUAUAGUAUAUUCGUUUCGUGUAGUAAUUGAUUCAUAACUUGUGCUUGUGUUUGUGAAAAUAUAUUGAGAGUGAAAGCCAACGCCCUAAAUCGUUUAAAAUACUUCGAGUGAAAUAUAUAUCCAGUCAGUACAAGUGUUUGAGGACUAAGGACCACAAGAGCGGGUUACACACCAUCGCAGAAUAAUAUCGAUUUGUUUUCACCCCUCUGUCUCCUUCAUAUUCCUUAUUCCAAUUUACCACCUGAAACCCUGUUUGUAACAAAUCGGUAUAUCAUUACGUCAUAGUUUGGAUUGGGGUAAGUGAUUUUUCCUAUUUGUUUUCCUGGGUCUAAAUACUGGUGUACUGAAUUGGAUAUAUGAAUGUGUUUAUUCGUAUCAUACAGUCCAACCAAAAAAAAAAAAAAAAACAGACAAAAGGCCUAUGGAUUCGUAGUUUUUUGUAACAACGUCGACGCGCAAUUUAAAAAGGAACAUAUCUGUCAAAUUUUAUUAAAAUCUAUUACCGCGUUUCGCCGUAAAUGCGGAACGUUAAUAAAGAGAAAUGCAAAACCGCCGACUUGAAUCUUAGACCUCAUUUCGCUCGGUCAAUAAAAGUGAGAUCCACGUUAUAGUCGGCAAUUGAUUAACAUUUUUGUUUGCUAUUCAUGUCUGUCAUUAGACAACGCAGAAAACUUUACUUACAUGCUCCAGUGGGUUGGCAGUUGUAAAUAGUCAAAAAUUUAAAAUAUUCUAAUAGUUCCAGCUUGUUAUUUACAGUAGUGUUGGUUGAUUCUAUUGAAUAAAUUAUACUUUUACUUUCAGGUCCAUUCUCCCAUUGAUUGACAGAUGUAAAGCAAUCCACAAAAAGUACACCAAAGUGCCUGAACUGUGUAGGUAUCUCACAGCAGUAAACCAAUUUACACUGAUGCCAUAUUAUAUGACUACCGUACUGUACCGAUCCCCGUAUUUUAACCACUUUUUUCAAUAAAAAUCCAUAUUCCAAUUUUUUGAAAUGUUAUUAUGUAUUUUAAUAAUGAGGUUAAUGACUAAUAGCUUAUGACUUGAUAUUUUUGUUAAUCAUUGUAGUAUUAAUAAACACGUUUUUUUAGCGAA